rnacentral:rRNA from 1 species
GUACACACCGCCCGUCGCUACUACCGAUUGAGUGCUCAGGUGAAUUAUCCGGACUGCGAUUUUUGGCUUUUGCCUAAGUUGCGGGAAGUUUUGUAAACCUCAUCACUUAGAGGAAGUAUAAGUCGUAACAAGGUUUCCGUAGGUGAACCUGCAGAAGGAUCA